UGUAGCUCGCGUUCGAGCGUGUCCCGGGGUCUUCGCGCGUAGCCUCAGGUAGUCCUUACCUCACCUUAAAACUCGGGGUAAGGGCGCGACUGCCUAUGCAGGGGUGAAGAGUCUUAAUGCCACAGGAAGACCCAAAAGAGGCCGAAGGCAGCGGAGGCCCGAGCUCUGGUCGCUGCGAGCUGUUGGCUGCUUUCCCCCGAGGGCUUCAGCCGGGCCCCUCAGGCUCUUCACCCGGCAGAGCGGCCUAGGGCCUGGCAAUGGCGAGUGGCGCCCCGCCUCACGGACCCCGUCCUGUCUCGCGUCGCUGACUCAGUUGUCCUGGUGAGACUUUUGAGACAGUUGCCACACUACCCCGCCUGGACCGUUUCUUUCACGUUUCACAGGAAAGGCGAUCUUUCUAUAAUCUGCAUCGCUUUUAAAGUCAUACUGUGGGAGAAGAGGCAAUUUGGACACACAGGAAGACACCAGGAAUGCACAUGCGCAAGAGGAAAGGUCCUGUGAGGACGCAGUGAGAAGGCAGCGGCUGGCCGUCUGAAAUCCAAGAAGAGAGGCCUCUGGAGAAAUCAAACCUGCCUACAACUUGAUCUUGAACUUCUAGCCUCCAGAACUGUGAGAAAAUAAAGUUUUGUUGUUUAAGCCA